rnacentral:rRNA from 1 species
UAUGUGAUCGUCUCUCGCAUAUCAAUAAGCGGAGGAAAAGAAACUAACAAGGAUUCCCCUAGUAACGGCGAGUGAAGCGGGAAGAGCUCAAAUUUGAAAUCUUAAAGGGUUUCCCUUUACGAAUUGUAGUUUAAAGAAGUGUUUUCUGUUGAGGUUUUGGUAAAAGUUCUUUGGAAUAGGACAUCAUAGAGGGUGAGAAUCCCGUAUUUGACCUUUACUUUCAACUUUGUGAUACACUUUCAAAGAGUCGGAUUGUUUGGGAAUGCAGUCCAAAAUGGGUGGUAAAUUUCAUCUAAAGCUAAAUAUUGGCGAGAGACCGAUAGCGAACAAGUACCGUGAGGGAAAGAUGAAAAGAACUUUGAAAAGAGAGUUAAACAGUACGUGAAAUUGUCAAAAGGGAAGCGUUUGACACCAGUGUUGUUUUUCUGAAAAUCAAUUAAAGAACUGUUUAUGCUAAGCUGUUUAGACUUUAUCAGCUAUCUGUUUAGUUUUGAGCUUUUCUUUAAUGCACUUUUCAGUUAACAAGUCAACAUCAAUUUCUUUUGCUGUAAAGAAGCUUGAGGAAGGUGGCUUGAGAUUCGUCUUAAGUGUUUAUAGCCUCUUGCUUAUGCAGUCGGAGAGAUUGAGGUCUGCAGCGUAGAUCCUUCGGGGCUAAAUGCAUUUGUGCUAAGUUAUAGCAUUUUAUAGACAACUUGUUGACUAUGAUUUGUCUUGUAGCUUACUCGCUUAUGUUAUUUUACCUACGCUUAGGAUGUUGAGUAGCGACAUACGCAC